GACGUAGGGCGCGAGCGUUGUCCGGAUUUAUUGGGCGUAAAGAGCUCGUAGGCGGCUUGUCGCGUCGUUCGUGAAAACCCACAGCUCAACUGUGGGCUUGCGGUCGAUACGGGCAGGCUGGAGUUCGGUAGGGGAGACUGGAAUUCCCGGUGUAGUGGUGAAAUGCGUAGAUAUCGGGAGGAACACCAGUGGCGAAGGCGGCUAUCUGGGCUGAAACUGACGCUGAGGCGCGAAGGCUAGGGGAGCAAACAGG
rnacentral:rRNA from 1 species